rnacentral:rRNA from 1 species
UACGGGGGGGGCAAGCGUUGUUCGGAAUUACUGGGCGUAAAGGGUGCGUAGGCGGCUUUCUAAGUUGGAUGUGAAAACUCUGGGCUCAACCCAGAGCCUGCAUCCAAAACUGGAGAGCUUGGGUUCUGGAGGGGAAAGCGGAAUUCCUGGUGUAGCGGUGAAAUGCGCAGAUAUCAGGAGGAACACCGGUGGCGAAGGCGGGUCUCUGGGCCGAUACUGACGCUGAGGAGCGAAAGCGUGGGGAGCGAACAGG